UAGGGAAUCUUCCACAAUGGACGCAAGUCUGAUGGAGCAACGCCGCGUGAGUGAAGAAGGUUUUCGGAUCGUAAAGCUCUGUUGUUGGUGAAGAAGGAUAGAGGCAGUAACUGGUCUUUAUUUGACGGUAAUCAACCAGAAAGUCACGGCUAACUACGUGCCAGCAGCCGCGGUAAUACGUAGGUGGCAAGCGUUGUCCGGAUUUAUUGGGCGUAAAGCGAGCGCAGGCGGAAUGAUAAGUCUGAUGUGAAAGCCCACGGCUCAACCGUGGAACUGCAUCGGAAACUGUCAUUCUUGAGUGCAGAAGAGGAGAGUGGAACUCCAUGUGUAGCGGUGGAAUGCGUAGAUAUAUGGAAGAACACCAGUGGCGAAGGCGGCUCUCUGGUCUGCAACUGACGCUGAGGCUCGAAAGCAUGGGUAGCGAACAGGAUUAGAUACCCUGGUAGUCCAUGCCGUAAACGAUGAGCGCUAGGUGUUGGGGACUUUCCGGUCCUCAGUGCCGCAGCAAAACGCAU
rnacentral:rRNA from 1 species